rnacentral:lncRNA from 1 species
UUGCUUGUACCCGGGAAACAAGUGUUCUAGCUUGGGAUAGCUAGGGUCGGAGUUUCUGACGUCUUGUAUUCUAGCUUGGGAUAGCUAGUGUCGGAGUUUCCGAUGUUUUGUAUUCGGGUUGAAUACAAAGGAUAGUGGAUUGAAAUUCCCAAGUAGAAUCUUGGGGAGUGGAUGUAGGUGCAAGGUUAGCACCGAACCACUAUAAAUCCUUGUGUUUGUGGUGUGCUUUAUCGCUUUAUCUUAUUUCUUUAUUAUAUCCUUGCAAUACUACUUUAGGUAAUUAAUAUUGAUUUAAAGCCAUUAUUUUGUUCUUCAUAAGUUAUUUGUUGGGCUUAAAAUUUUUAGAAACCCAAUUCACCCCCCCUCUUGGGUUGCAUAGCUGGGCAACAGGGUUGGUUUAGUCCUAUUCCAAAUAGGAUUUAAGAUCUUUUUUAACUCUAACUAAUUCUUGGACAUAAUCCUAACUAAUUUAAGAAUUAGUUAUAACAAACUAACUAAUUAGAUCCUAGUCCAAUUAUGAAACCAAUUACGCCCUAAUCCAAUUAGAGAAUUAGUUAGAUUAAAAUCCCAUUGGGUCCUAGUUAGAUUAAAAUCCCAUUGAUCUAGGGAUUGAUUCUUAAUGGAUAUCAGAGAAGUUUUUGAUAAUCAAGCCUAUUAUUCAAUAGGAUUUGACUAAUCAAAAUAUAUAAAAAACUAAAUUGAAUCUCAUUCAACUCAGAAUUUAAUUUGCAUCUCUGAGAUUAAUUGGAACAAGCCCUGUUAUCCAAUAGGACAGCAUCAAAUCAAUCCAAAGCCAAUCUAAUUGAAUCCAAUUCAAUUAGAUCUAACCCAAUCCCCAUUGCUCAAUCAAAUUGAGCCAAUUAACAAUCAUAUUGUUAAUUAAUAUUCUUCUAAUUUAUCAACUAUUAGUAAAUUAUUCAUUACAAUCUUUGCAUAGGAUUAAUCAUCAAUCUCAUUGAUAAUUAAAUCCUUCAAUGAUUCAUAAUCAUCGAUCAGUCAUUUGAUCAGAUAGAUACUUCUAUGUGCAUGACCCCAUAGGUUAGAACCUAAAUUGAUAGCAUAAGAAUAAUUUUUAUACUAAUCGAUGUAACCAUCUAGCAAUGGGAUCCGAUGUCCGGAUAGGCCGAAUGUAUGUCCCGCAUUCUCUAGAACCCAUGUGGAUAAAGUUAUCGUAUAAUUCAUCUCUUUGAUACUUGAUUCUCAAGGAUGAUUAAGGGUUAAACUGUCAACCCAAAAUGAGUAGUCCACAUUGUGUCUCAACUUUAAAAAUCUUGUGACUCCUCACUAGGACUACUUUGGCUAAAGUUUUGCUAAAUUGAAAACAUAGUAAUGCAUCAUCUCUAAUUUUACUUGGAGCAGUCAAUCCCAUUUUGAUUCACACUUAGACUUCACAAGUACUUGACUGUACCCAAAAAUCUUCCAUCAUUGAAUUAAGAAUUUGGAUAGUCCGACACCAAAGCAUUGUGAGUUGCUUGUAAGUCAUCGAGGCAGUUUCAAGUCAGAGGGAUACAUAUACCCAUAUCCCAUCAGAGCAACCCUUAACAGUAGAGUGCUCCAAAAGUAGUCACGCUCAGUGAAAUAUACUCCUACAUAUCAUUCGUAUGCCAUACCCGUGUCACCACAUGCUUUGGUUAAGAGGACAACCAACUAAUGUGGCACACAAUGACCUACACUCGAUACAAUUAUCAUCCUUGUAAUAAUUGUAUUAUUUGGUCAUGAGUAGAAUUUAAGAACCAUAUGAUAAAUCCUCCUUUAUCAUUUUGAAAGUAGCUCUAAGGACUUCGUCACAACAUAUAAGUUCUAUUUUGGAAGAUGCAUUUUUUAUGAUGAAUCUGCCAAAUAAUAUUUAUCAUUUUAUAAUUCAUAUACUUGUGUGGAGCACAAUCAUUUACAAUCUAGAUGAUUGGUUUUAGGACAUAUUUUUCAACAUCAAGUCUAUUUGUGAUUCUCAUAGAAAUUUUUUUUCAUCAAUCACACUGCUGUGGCCACAGACUCUCGGACUCAGUCUCUCAAAAUCUAUAGGACUGCUCCUCUCUAUCAAGUCAAUAGAUUUCAUUUAGAUGCACACUCUACUCCUACAGUAGACCAACUGUCGCCAACAUCCACUACAAGAUCUCAACAAGGCCAUAUUUAUAUAUCAGUCAAACUUCAGUAGCCUCACUGUGAGUAGUCGUACUAUCAUAGAUCAAAUGACCAUUCACAUAACUACAGCAUUGAGAUGAUCACUGAUGAUUGGUUAGAAAUUUAAGUGAUCUCUCAUAUGGUCAUGCUCAGUACUAGUUGUUAUUUAAUGACUAUCCACACUCAUCGUUUAGUGUCUCUACAUAAUAGAUCAGAGACUCAUCUACCCAAAAAGAAGUAAUCUGUGCAUUGGUCUAUCUAGAUCAAUUACUGUCCUCAUGAUGAUACUAUGAUCGAUAGUAUUUAGAAAUUAUAUAUGUCUCUAAUUCUCAAUACUUUGAAAAUAUGUAUCAAAGUAUUAAUUUUAUGGAUAAUUCAAGGAUACAUCACUCUUGAAUGAAAAUUAAACUUAUCCUUUUAUUGAUCAAGUCAAUAUAUCAAGUAUAAAAUUGUGCCAUAGAUUUAUUACAAUGUGUCAGCCAUAUUGGUUUCUAGGACAUACAUCUAAUAGCUAACUCAAGGGUUUGGAUUGAAAACAAGUCCAAGGGAUGAGACCAUGUGAGUCAUAGCUCAGUGAGUGCUUUCAUGUAUUGGAUUUAGCUUGAAGAGUUUUUCAGCUAGACUUUAUUAGGGUUUAUAUUUAAGCCCUAGGGUAUAUAUGUUAGAUAUAUGUUCUAGAAGCCAAUAUGGCUGACACAUUGUAAUAAAGUUAGGACAUAAUUUUCUACUUAAUACAUUGAUUUGAUCAAUAAAAGGACAAGUUUAUUUUUCAUUCAAGUGUGAUGUAUCCGCGAAUCAUCCAUAAAAUUAAUAUUUCGAUAUAUAUUCUCAAAAUAUUGAGAAUUAGAGACGUAUUUCAUUUCUAAAUACUUUUGGUUAUAGUAUCAUCAUGAGGAUGGUGAUCGAUCCGGAUAGAUCGAUGCACAGAUCGCUUUCUUUAGGACAGAUGAAUUUUUGAUCUAUAGUGUAGAGACACCGAGCAAUAAGUGUGGGUAGUUAUUAGAGAAUAACUAGUACUGAGCGUGAUCAUACAAAAGAUCACUUAGAUUUCUACUCGAUCAUCAAUGAUUAUCUCGAUGCUGUAGUUAUGUGAAUGAUAUUUUGACCUACGAUAGUACGACUACUCACAGUGAGACUAUUGGAGUUUGACUGACAUAUAAACAUGAUCUCAAUGAGCUCUUGUAGUAGAUGUUGGCGAUAGUUGGUCUACUAUAGUAGUGGAGUGCGCAUCAAGAUGAAAUCUAUCAACCUUGAUAGAAAGGAGUAAUCCUAUGAGAUUUGAGAGGCUAAGUCUGAGAGUCUGUAGCCACAGCAGUGUGAUUGAUGGAAAAGAGUUUUUAUAAGGAUCACAAUUAGACUUGAGCUAAUCAAAUUUAUCAUAUGAAUGAUGAUGAGGUUUGAUAAUUUUUUCAUGACCUACCAUCUAAUCGAAACUCAUGAUAGAGGGAUUGAAUCACACGUUAACUACACCUUAAGAUUCAUUUUUGAUUCUACUAGGUUGCCACUACAUACUGCUAGGUAUUACUGAUGGAUUGUGAGAGCUCACUAAGAUUGCUCAGGAUCGACAAUCCUUGAUGAGUUAGACUGAAAUUGUUUCAAUCUAUUGAAAAGAAUUUAAUGAUACAAUGAUAGAGAAUAUUGUAUAUCUUACUACCAGAUAGAAUUAAACCUAUGGGAUCACAUAAUAAAGAGACUAGAUUUGAAAUAAGUAAUUGGGCUUAUAAAGUCUCAGUUAGGUUUAGAGAAAUCCUAUUGGGUUCAGGGUAACCUUGCUAGCAUAUGAUUGGACUCAAUUUUUUCUUUAUAUUUGAAUUUCUUAUUUGAUAAGAUUAAUUCAAACUUAAUUAUCUGCUAAUAAUUAAAAUAAAUUAGAUUCAUUGGGCUCUAAUUGUUGGGUGCCUAAGAUUUUGGAUCAAAUGAAUUAAGGGUGCAAGUCCUUAAUUAAUUUUCUUGAUAGUUUUGAUUGGAUGCCACUUGAUUUGAUCAUGUUGGGUGUGCCCAUCUAUUAGAGGAUGUAUGGAUCCUUUAUGGAGCGUCCCAUGGGUGCAAAGUGGGGGGUGAUUUUGUGGGUCCAAGGGCUCUAAUAGUUGGCACCUAAUUGAUUUCCUAAAGGAAGUCAAAUAACUAAAUGAAUAAGAAAACAUAAUGCAAGUAGGACUUGUAUUAAGUGCUUGUUUAGUUUUGAAUAGGAUUCAAACCUUAUGCCUAUUUAAAAGAACCUUCCCUAUGGUCCCUAGGCACUUCAACCAGCAGCCCAUGCCACCUCUUGGAGAGUCCCACACCCUCUUUUCUCUUCUCCCUCUCUGCUCCCUUGGAGCAUCAACGCCCCAAGCUUGGGCAUCCUCUUUCUUCCACGCCCAAGGGCUGUUGGGUGUCUCCCUUAUUUGUCACUUUGUAGUCUCUGGUUGCUCUAUAAUCUAGAGAAGAAAAAGUAAGAGAAAAAGAGAAGAAGAAGAUCAAGAAAAGGAUCAAAGAGUUGAUCACGAUCCAGGCUUCAUUCAGAUUUAUAGGCUAAUUUUUCUUGGGAAAGAAAAAUUAAUUUUAAGAAGGCUAUUCCAAGCUGAUCCUGAGUGGAUACCCAAAAAGGUCGGGUACUUGCACAGCUAAAAGAGAACUUCUUCUCUUUUAGACCCAGAUUUGAAGAAAAAAAUUAUGAAAUAGGUAUGUGAUUCGAUCACAUAUUCAAUUUCAGCAUAUGUUCAAUUUCAUCAUAUGAAGUAGAUCUUUGUAGUUUAUGUUUUAUGCAUGCAUGAUAUAGAUUAAAAAAAGUUUUAAUCUUCUAUUCCACUAUCAUGUUUAGGAAAAAAAAAUUAAAAUAUACAUGCAUGCUCGGACAUAGAAAUUCCAACAGUGGUAUCAGAGCC